GCCUCUGUAGCUCGAUUUGUUAGAGCGCUGCUCUGGAAUCGCAGGGCCGUAGGUUUGAUUCCUGCCAAAGGGU